GCUGUGGACUGUCGGGAGGUGAAGCGGUGGACGGGGGUGCGGCCCUUGAGGAGGGGGUCGGAAUCGGAGGAAACGAGGGUUUGGUGGGUGAAGGCGACGAGGAGGCAAAGGAUGAGGAGGUAGAGCUGGAGAUGGCGGAGGAGGCGGUGGGCGCCGUUGGGGAGAGGGUGGUAAGGUCUGGCGGUGUAAUCUCGGGGAGACUUGAGGUGGUUCUUGGUGGUGCAGAUGAGAUGGUAGAGUCCCAAGGAGAGCAGAGCUGAGGAUGAGAACACGAGGUAGAGUAGACCUGCCAUCGUCGAUGAUGUGAUUUGGGCCUGCCCCUUCUUCUUCGGAUCCUCUCCCC
rnacentral:lncRNA from 1 species